AUUUAUAUAGUUUAAAUAAAACAUUACAUUUUCAUUGUAAAAUUAAACUACUAUGUUUUAUAAAUA
rnacentral:tRNA from 1 species